rnacentral:tRNA from 1 species
UCCCCGGAGGUCUAGUGGUUAAGACUCUGUGCUUCCAAUGCAGGGGGCAUGAGUUUGAUCCCUGAUUGGGGAA